ensembl:lncRNA
CUAGGACCAUGCGUCAGGACUACCUGGCAUGAUGACUCCUUGCUCUCCCCCCAGUCCCCCGGGCCUUGCUGCUGUUCCAGUUUCAACUGUUCUGCCUGCGGCUAUGGAACCCUAAACUGUUCAUGUUUACUAUUGAGGUGCUGUCCUGUUGCACCCUCUACAACUACUGUGAUCUCCACCCGGCACAGCCAGAAGAGGACUGGCCACCCCUCAUAGCCUGGUUCCUCUCAAGAUUUCUUCCUAGUUUUUGCCUUUCUAGGGAGUUUUUCCUAGCCACCGUGCUUCUACACCUGCAUUGCUUGCUGUUUGGGGUUUUAGGCUGGGGCUAUAUAAAUUGAUUUGAUUUGAUAGAGGACUGAGGGUCCUCAGUGUGUAAAUAGUUACCCAUGUUAUUUUGUAAAUGUAUAUAUAUAUUUUUUUAAAUAUAUUUUUUAAUCAAUAAUUAUUAUUAUUAUUAUUAUUUUUUUUUCCAUUUUUCCCCCCAUUUUUUUCCUCCAUUUUUUUUUUUUGGGGGGGUGUUAUAAUACCAUUUUGGUAUUUUGUAUAUAGUUAUUUGUUUCAAAAAUGUAUACCUUCACCAAUUUGGCCACUUGGGUACAUUUGGGCUACUUGUGUGGGACACCUGGGUGACUUCAUGAUAAAUGUCAUGUAGAGCACACUCAUUUUGGAAGUUAUCAUUCUGAAACUUUGCACAAGUACUGUUGCCCUCUUAUAUUUUUCACUGAAAUUGUCCCCAUCAUCCUAUCUAAAUGUUUGUUUUAUCUUGUUCAUUUUAAAGAUGAUAUAAAAAUUAAAAACUUUUUUUCCCCCAUUGUUUAAUCUAAACCAGAUCUAUUGUGUUAUGUUCUCCUACAUUCAAUUCACAUGUACACAAACUUCAGAGUGUUUUCUUUCAAAUGGUACCAAGAUUAUUUGUGUAGGAGAAAUCGCUCCGUUUUGUUCAUCACGUUUGUCUAAGAAAACAAAAAACGAAAAAUUCAGUCAUUACAACGCCAAACUUUUUUCCAAAUUAACUCCAUAAUAUCAACAGAAACAUGGCAAACGUUGUUUAGAAUCAAACCUCAAGGUGUUUUUCACAUAUCUAUUCGAUGAUAAAUCAUUCGCGGCAGUUGGGUUUCUCCUCUGAAGCAAAUGGAAAAAUGCACGCAGCUGGAGAUUACGCAAUAAUUUCAACGGAGGACACCAAGCGGGCACCUGGUAAAUGUAGUGUCUUAAGGUCAAUCUUCCAAUGAUAUGCCUACAAAUACGUCACAAUGCUGCAGACACCUUGGGAAACGACAAAAAGUGUAGGCUCAUUCCUGGCGCAUUCACAGCCAUAUAAGGAGACAUUGGAACACAGAGCUUUCAAAAUCUGGAGCAUUUCCUGUUUGAAAUUUCAUCUUGGUUUCGCCUGUAGCAUCAGUUCUGUGGCACUCACAGAUAAUAUUUUGCAGUUUUGGAAACGUCAGAGUGUUUUCUUUCCAAAGCUGUCAAUUAUAUGCAUAGUCGAGCAUCUUUUCGUGACAAAAUAUCUUGUUUAAAACGGGAACAUUUUUUUAUCCAAAAAUUAAAAGAGCGCCCCCUAUAUCGAAGAGGUUAAGAAUGAUUAAUCCAAAUAAAUGGUAAAUAACCACCCACGGAGCCCUAAAACCCCACACCAUUCC